GAAGGAGGGAGCGGUGUGGGGCGCCUUCCUGGGUGAUAAUGCAGCUGUGUGCGUACGGGAACAAGGGAGUACACUCGUCAGAGACAGCAAGGAGUUGGGACACCCUGGGAAGCAGCAAACCAGAGCACCAAGCAGGGCCUGCGCACUUCAUCAUAUCCAGUCAGCCUUGGGAUGAAGGAGGAUGACAGUGUCACGAUGAGGACACUGUGUCCUUACAAGAUGAAGCCUUCAACACUGAACCUUAAAACCAAGCCAUCCAGCUCCUGCCAGCUCCUUGUGGUUGCCUGUGGCUCCACGGAACUGCCACAUCAGGUCAUGAACCUCAAGGUGAACCAAACUGGGAUUCCACACACAUCACACCAGCCCUCCUUUGGGAAAUGCAAACCUGUCCCAGGAGUUUCAGGCAUCCUGAUGUGUUCAUCCUGUAUUGCCUCACUGAAGAAGUAAAACUACCUGCUCCUGAGAACUCUGAAAAGAAGCUGCAAACAUUGAGAUUCAGAGGAACCAAGAAUCCUGGACUGCCAUCUGUACAGCUGACCUCCAGCAGGUGGAUGUGUGAUGGAAGGAGCUGAGCCCCCAGAUGAGUGUGAAGGUCAUGUGCUGCAAGCUCCGAGGUAACCAUGCACAGCUCAUGAGCACUGAAUGUCCAUUCUUGCCAGUACAGGUAACAGACUGUUCUCUAUCAGUGCUGAAAUAAUGCUUCCAAUGCUUAACAUGUUCUGAACUGUUUAUUUAAAUGAGUGUUUUUCAAGGUAAGGAGGAAUGAGACUCUUAUGCCUUUUUUGUCUGGAAAUAUGUAUAUAUAUAUAGAAUUGAUUGAAAAAAAAUAGCCCUGGUCAUUCACACAAACGGAAUAAUUGAAACAGCAUUAAUAGCUAUUAGCUCAAUGAGGAGAAGGCCCUGUUCAGUGAGGCUAAAGGGUGCAAGAGGUAACAAUUGGAAUUCCUCAAGACGAGCUCCUUCUCACACCCCAUCCAAAAUCUCCUCCUUAACGGCUGCCCGGCUGACUUUAAACUGCCAACACGGACAAAAAGGGGAUGUUGCAUCUUUUACAAACAGCCUUUUGUUUGCCGUUCUGACACCUGCGAAAAGCAAAAUUGUUAUUUUCUUGCUGCUUGUUGCUAGUUUGAUGCCCGCUCUGGGGCCCUACAUCAGAGACACUGUUCAAAACAGGUUGCAGGGGUCCGUUUCCGUGCUGUCUGCCGAUGGUGCUGCCUGAAGGAAAACCAUGGAAACGGAGUUUGACAGGCUCACAGGGACCCACGGCUGCCAGAGCCGCUGCCUUUGAGCGCCUGAUGAAGACAUCACAGAGCAAACACAACAUUAAAACGCUGCUGGCUGCUUUGCAUCACUUAGAAUGCAAAUCUCUUUGUUCUGCUCGGCCCUUGCGUUUUGUAGCUGAGGAAUCUGUGCUAUCAUCUAACACGGAUUUGCUGACCUUUCUUCCUUCGCUGUCCACUCUCCUAAAAAAAUAUAUGUAUAUUUAAAAAAUAUUUUAAAAGAUCAGCUUUUGUGGGAAGGAGGGUGGCAUGGCUCUGUGCAUUUUGAAAUGGCCCCAGUUUUUUUCAGUUCCUGGGAUUUCUGUGCACAAAUUAAACACCCGUAUUGCAGAGCAGGCUGGGUUGGUUUGCUUUGUUGCUCCCUGUGUAUUAUUUGACUUGGAUUCAUUUACAUGGCAACUCACAGGGGUAGAUUUUUUGUCAUCUUCAUGCCACAGAUUCAAAAGUAAAAGUAAUCCUUUAUUUGCACAGCACAUCCCCUCCAACCCUUUAAGCUGUACAGAUGAAAAUAGAUGAAAAAAAUGCAAACUCCCCAACCACCAUAAUACCUAUCUUAUAACUUUUUAUGCUAAAUUUAAGCUGUGUGGUUAUUAUUCCGCCCUCCAUUUGUAAGUGGCUUGUAUUUUAACUGCAGUCUCUGAUUUCAGUAACUGUCAGACCUUCGAAAUGCCCCACGCCUUUGUGCUCAGAUAUGGGAUUGUGGUGGCUCCUGACAGGCUAAGCUAUGCAUGGGGCAAUCAGGAAGGCUUUUUUGCUGAUUGGAGAAACCACAGUGAGCACCUGCAGUAGGAAGGAUCUGGUGGGGAGACAGCAAACAAACUGGCUAUUCUCUCAGAAGUGAUAAUUUAUCAUUUCAUUCUCCCUGUGCUGUGUAACUCACACAUUACUUAAGCUGAGAGAGGGCUACCAUCGCUAAACUGGAAACAAUACCCAAAACUUAGAGCUGCAGCUUGCAUCAGGAAAUUAUUUAAGCUCGUGUAAAUCUGCGUCCACCAUGGUUCAGUAAGGCUUAAAUGGGCAUUUAGGUUAAGAUCAUUGUCAAAGACUUUCCUAAAAAUACAGAUGCAGGUCUUAGCUAAGUAGCUCCUCAAUAAGCUUUGGGAAACUUGUCCUCAGGGGCCAAGGAAAACAAUGUGAGACUGGUCCCUGCCUGGACUAGAGGCUUGGCACCAGAUGAGCACCUUCAUGGGUAUAUCUUGGGAUUAGACCAAAAUGAAGCUACUGGAUCCUGCUCAGACACUGAGUAAGCCAUAGAAAGGCGACAGUUUUCCUGCCCUCAUCUCUAGGGAGAGCAGUUCUGCACUGGAAACACAGGACAGACCAAGGGGCUAAAGAGUUUUUCAAGUGAUGGUCAGGUCCCAUUGCUUUCCUUGCUUCUGCCAAGUGGAUGUUGUUCAGUGCCAGAGAAGAAGGGUCUGCCUAGACAAGGUUUCCAAGUGAGCAGUUUUCUGCUUCUUGUACUGAGCCCAAACUGCUUUGAGUCUGUUUUGCUGCUGGGAAGUCUGUUUUGCAACCUGGGAAAAGGCACACUUACCAGCAAUGUUUAGCUGUCUCCGCAGAAACUAUUAUUUGUGGGUGAAAUCACUGUGCAGUUAUUGGAAACAACAGCUGUAAAUCUCCACAUAAGUGUUGAGGCCUUGUCACACAGUAUUUUCUCAGUCUCCAAAAUGAUCCAGGUGCUCAUUUCUCUCAGCUUCCUAAGUUCCUUAUGGUUAUGCUGUUCAUUCUCUUUUUACUCUCUCUUCCACUCUUCUUCUUUCUCUUUAGGCUGACUCCUGGAAAGACCUUCUCUUUCCUUGCAGACUCAUUGACUGCUUUCCUAACUCAAAUCCUUGUGCAAGACCUUGUAGAAGUGACAUUUACAAAAAACACCAUUUUGAGACCUCAUUCUUUUCCUGCCCAUUGAUGUCCUCUCAGUUUGAAUUGCAGUGUUUAAUUUUGACUGUGAGGCAACGUUGGCAGUUUCCUGACUAACCCAAUGUCAGAUCAGAAAAAAGAAUGAAAACCAGAAAGGUGCCUUAGAAUGUCUAAGUGGAAGUGGAUCAAAUUUCUGUGUCAAAAAGAGGGCAAAACCAAGGAUGUGGGACUUGCAUGAAAAAUCUUGCAGACAGUUAUUUUUUCCUCUUCCUUUAUUUCACAGUGGGACAAAUUCCACUUUAUUUCAGUUCAUCUGUAAAACAUGAGGAGCCAGCUGAGCGUAGCAUUGGUUCAGAAUGAGGGCAGCUGACAAGGGAAAGGUAAAAGGAACUAGUAACUUCUGCAGUUCUCUCCAAGAAAUGUCUUCAGUGCAAAAAAAAAGCAAAAAAACUCUCAAAUUAACUUCUGAAGAACAGAGGAAGGCACUAGGACAUCAACUAACAUGUAAUACAGCAGACUCCAAAGUGUGAUUAGUGCCUUAAUUGUUCAUAUGUGUGAUGCUUCCAAUGGAGCGCCCUUCUCCAGCUCCUUACACCUGAAAUCUUAGCUCUGUUUUUUCGUCUCCUCGACACACAGAAGUUGGAUGGCACAAAGCAUUUCCCAGGGAACUGUCCUCACUAAUAGUGACAUUGCUUAAGUGGAGCCUGAAUCCCAUCAGCAGGGAAGACCCCUCCCAUCCAGACAGCAGCACUGAUCAGAGAGUUUGGGACUCCCAGUACGUUACAGUUUGCAAGUCUACAGCUCUGAGACAAAGAGGGAUAUUCAGAACAGCCUAAUUAGUUGCAUUUUCUUUUCUAACCCCAGUCAGAAACCAGUCAGACUGUGCUUCAGAUUUUGACAUCCUAUUAAAUGCAGAACACAGGCCAAUAGCUUUCAUUUUCCCUUGUGAUGCUACAGACUCUUGUUUUUAUAGUUUGACAGAGAGACAUAAUUAGGCCUCAGAAAGGACAAGUCCAGACUAUUAGUUCCCCACAGAGGCUCCAUGGAAAAUCAGAACCCACAAUUACUCUCCACUUUCCCACUGAGGUAAAUGUGUGGAUGUCUGCUCUCCAGCAUCAGACGUUCCGUUCACAACCUUUAAGCCUAUGACUUUACAGUCCUUUCACUGAAGGGCACAAGGAAAAAGAAAGGAAGGAUGAUACCAGCAUUUGACUUUCCAAAGGGACAAGUGCAAGUAAAGGACAAUAAAUGACACUGCUAAUGCUAUAGGUACAAUGCUUCUCAGAGAUGCAGACAGAGAGAAACAGAAAUUAAUCCCCAUAUUCCUGCCCUCUUCAUUGUGGCCCAACAGAAUUGGGUUGUCAAAAUAAUAAUAAUAAUAAUAAUAAUAAUAAUAAUAAUAAUAAUAAUAGUAAUAAAUAAAAUUAAUUCAACUGCCCCACAUUUAAAAUGAACAAGAUACAGGUUAGCAGCCUAAGCACAAUUCUGGUAAAGCAGAAUGCAUCAUCAGGGCAUGGCAUUUAGUGAUAUUUGUUCAUAGGAGUCCUUUCCCAAUCUCCUCAUCUGUUUCUGAGUUAACAACAGCUUCACUUUUUAGUUCUCAAAGACCAAUAGAAAAUUCACUCUCUAGAUGCCUCAUUCUCUCUCAAAGGCAAUUUCUUAGUCUGUGUUUGCCAAGUGGUACAUAGCAGCUCCCACUUGGUCUUAGUCUCCAAAUGCUUGGACAAUUUCUGUACAUUUCCUGAUGAGCUGCAAUCUUGGACACAUCUGAUUCAAAUGAGCUCUCAUCCUCGAUAUAACCAUGGAGCACUGGUCCUUUGUUUGUUUUUGCAAUAGCAUCAUAUUUUAGAUGCAUCUUCAGUUUAUAAUCCCCAGUAAUCCUCAGAUCCUGCUGUGCCUAGCCAGCAGUCCUUAAUUCCGUGUAAACCAUUCUACAGCUGUCUUUAUUAUAUCAUGUGUUACUGUUUUCAAGUCAUUACCCCAAUCUAUCAGCAUUAUAUUGAAUUUUAAUCCUAUCAUCUUCCAAAGUGUUGCUCAACACAUUGUCUGGGAAUUCACCUCACAAGGAGCAUCAGCCCGUGGUCCCUCCUGCCACCUGCUUCCCAUCGCUAACCUUGGUGCACGAUCUGGUCCUGUGCCAGAGCUGUACAGCACAUAUUGCACUGCUGGCACUUCUUUUUUCUUCUGGUAUCGUCCUUUUCUUUGUAGGAUGUCAAACCUAUUCAGGACUAUUUCAUCCCACUGAAAACCCUUGACACCUGAUACCACAGAGAUGAGAAGUAAUUAGGGGCAGGGCCUAUCUGCCCAUCUGCAACUACAAGAAAAUGCUUUGCAUUUCAAAUAAGCAAGGUUUAUUUCUCACUUUAAAGCCUUGUCCCUGGGUUCUCAUGUCUCCACCAUGCUGCAGAAGCACUCCAUCACCCAGGGACAUGCAAUUGCUAAAUGCACCCAUUGCUGGCCCCUUUCCCUGGCCAAAAGGGCAUCGGUCAUGGGGAGCCACACAGAUGCAGACUGCAGCACAGUGUUCUGUAGCCACUCAAUUAGACUGCCUGUUUGUGCUCAGCCUCUCAAGCACUUGGUGAAAGUAAAAUGCUUACACAAUUCCUCUGCCUACAAGGCCUUGAAAUCUUCAGGGGGCCUGGCUUUGCUGCCUGGUUUUCCACUGACAGGCUGAUAGAGACAUCACAAAUCUCUCCAAAGGCCAGUCACUAGGCUUCUUUCAACAUCAAAGGGUGUCAGUGUUCACUCUGCCUAGGAGCCUGGGGCAAUAUAAAUCACACAUGAAUAGGUGAACUGAGUCUUUGAGGUUAAAUUCUCUCUGUAUAUACAAAUAUCUCUCCUUGGGUAUCUGAAGUCAUUGUGUUGUUUCCCCAUCAAUAUCAAGUAUUUUCUUUCAGUGGUAAUAUUCCAAUGGCAAGCUAGGCCUUACAGAGAAAAAUAAAAAGGAUGUGCUAGGGUGCUGCAGGAAGAGAAUUAACUCAUUUUAAAAAUGUGUUGUCAUUGUCUUGGAAGAAAAGUUAGUAAGCCGAUACUGGGCUUUUUUUGUCGGGCUUCUUUAGUGUCUGUAGCUACACUCUCUUGGGCUGAACCAUCUUUCCUAGAGUCACUCAGGUGUGUUUAUUCCCAGACAUGCAGGAACCCCUGCCAGGCUCCUGGCUCACCCACAGAGCUUCUGCUUCCACCACAGCUCCCGCUACAGUCAGGCAGCAUGGCCCAGCCCCAGAGCUGGGCAGCAAGAAGCAGAGUUGAUGAACACAGAUGCCAUCCCCUGCAGAGGCUCCAGCCAGCCAUGGCCAACAUCAAGGAGGCAGAUCUGGGAGCCUGCAUUUCUUCUUGGACUGACACCUCACUCAGAUGCCGAGUGUCAUCUGGCUGUAAAAGACCUGGAUGAUAGGAAAUGUGUUUACUCCUAUUACAUCAACCAGCUGACACCUCGGGUCAUUAGCUGGAGAAGGCAAAAUGCCUCAGUGGUGGCUGCUUGGAGAGUUUGAUUCACCCUGACUGGCACAGUUGUGGCACCUCUGUGUGGGGUAUUUACCACCUAAAAACAGGAGUCAGGACAGCUGGGCCUGUCACUAAAUUACACUGCACAAAGAUAGUUCUGAUUCCUGCCUACCCUUGUGCAGGCAGGGCCCUGGCAGCAGCUCCCAUGUCAGUGCUACAUCAGCACAUUUGUGAGACGCCUGCACUGCUGCCAACUGGCCCUGCCUGCUCCAAGCAGCAGUACCUGAUGCCGCUGCAGAGAAAAUCUGGUCCAGUACCUUGUAGAGUAUUCAACAGAUUAUCACAUGGGAGAGAAUGCCAAAUCCCUGGAGGGGGGGGUUGCUAUUCCCAGGAAGUAAAUGGCUGUCAGGUUCAGGCUGUUGGCUACUUGAGAGACUAGCUCAGUUCUUAAGCCUCUCCACGUCAAAUCUGCACUCUCAGCAGCUGGUUACAUCCCCAUGCUUCUGCAAGACAGUGAGAGAAACGUGCAGCUAGUCAGCCUCCAUGUCCUCCUAUAUAGCACAUCGCUCACCCUUCUCACUGCCACUGCUUUUUCUCUCACCCGAGAGAAUUUUCCUGUGGGCAGCCACCCAGCCAGGUCCCACAGCUUGGUGCCAAGCCAAAACGUGAGCUGGGAAACUACCUGGUCUCAAAUUAUGUGGGUUUAAUGAGAUUUUUUAUCACCUCUGCAGUAAAUUACCUGUGCUCAGUAUUGUGUUUGAGUAACACCCAGCAGAAAUUGUAGCAAGGCAGUAAUUGCAGAGUAUCUGUCUAAGAUCUCUGUGCCGUGAGGCGUGGAUUUUCAUUUCAUACAUUAGUAGCAAUUUGCUGCCAUAGUUCCGUAUAAUCAGUACAUUCCUUUUAACGCACAGGAGGAAAAGGAGAAGGACAAAACUUCCCAGCACUGGGAAAAUGCUUGGAGCUGCUGUUUGGAAGCAGAAUUGUGUGAGUUGUGUGGCUCUCUCCCUUACCUCUCCAGCUGCCCAAGGGCUGCAUUGCUGCUCAAGUCACGUAUCCCUUAACACAAAGUCAGAGAUAUGACAGGAAAAAUGGAUUUGGUUGACCAUUCCUAGAAGGGUUUUGUGAGCGUUGAGUGGGUUAUACGCCAGAUUUUACAUUAUUCCCACUGCCCAUGCUGCAUCAAUAGAUUCCAACCACCUCCAAUAUAUCUUUUUUUUUUUUUUCUGGAAAGCUGCUCCUUAUGAAUAUAGACUCUCAAACUGGAUGGGGAGAUUGUCCUGCUGCUUUGCUGAGUGAUGUCAUCUAAACCACAUGUACCUACAGUAUUAGGUCAGUAUUAGGUGUUUUUGGAGGUAAUCAGGAUGCCUUGGAAGGACAGUAAGCAUUGUCAAGGAGAGGGACCUGAAAGAGACACUCGCUUACGGCUUUUAGUGCUAAAGCAGCCUGUGCUUUGGCUAGCAGGUGACACGCUGGUGUCGUUAGACUGAAAGCAGUUGUAAGUCAGAACUGAUGGUCAGAAAAACACCCACGUCACUCUGCUUCACAACCCACAUCCACAGCUAGAGCGCUGUGUGCUGGCACACAUCAUCUGCAUACUUCCUGGCACAACAGUUUUAGAGUCAGCAUUUCAGGCUGUAACCUAAGUAGAAGAACUGUGCUUCACCAACAGCCAGAGCUUCUACACUUUUCUGUACCCAUUCAAUAUUCAAAGUGAGGCCAUCAUUCCCAUACCUGCACAUCUCAGUCCAGUCUCUGUCUUUCUACACUGCAAAAGAGUACACCUUAAGACGAAAAAAGCCUUAAGACGAAUGCCAUGGACGUCUUCCAUUCAUUUGUAUCCACUGCUGUGAAAUCAUAAUGUGAAAAUCUUCGCAGUUAAAUAGCAUUUGAUUUUUCCUGUUUCUUUCUUCUGACAUGCAGUCUGUAGGGCUGCAGUCAGGGAAUCACUCCCUUGCAGUAGCCAGUACCUACUCCACUAACUUUCUGGGCACAUCUCCUGUCUAGCUUAAAAUCUGCAUAAUGAAAAGAAAGCCAUUUUCCUUACAAUCCAUUCUCCUGUUCAAAGCUUUUCAUGUGCCAGGUUGUUGUUUUUUAAUCACACAAAAUGGUAUAUAUUAAUGAGCUCUGAAGUUACAUAAAGAUAGAUCUAAAGCAUAAAAACACUAAUAUGCCCUGUAGCAUUCAGUGCUUUGAACACAGAAUGGCAUCUGUGUGAGAGUGUGAUUGCACGCAGCUAUGGAAACCAGUGCCAGAAAAUGAGGAAAUGCUGAACAAGUGGUGCAGGAUUGGAAAAAACUGGGAACAAAGAUAUUCAAUUUGCAUAAAAAGGCCUGGUUUGCUAGCAGCCGGAAUUGUGCGACUUUCCACUUCAAAAUGAUUAUUUUCUAGUUCUGCUGGCAACACGGCGAUUAUCUUUUUCUUGAAAGAAAACACUCCCACCAGCUCCCAGCAGAAAUGGAAGGGCAGGCAGGCUCCUAGGUCAGAUCUGGCUAUUGCAAAUGGGACAAGUUUUGCAAACAUGAGAAACUGUAAGGACUUUCCUCGUCUUUGCGUUCAUCCUAAGCAAUUUCCUUCUCAUUUCCAGAUGGUACCAAUUAAGAGUCAGAACCCCUGCCCUAACGGUUGUUAACAAAACAAGCACAAUCUGAGUCUUUAAUGAGUAAAACUAGAGUCACAUAAUACACUCAAGAGCAGCCAAAAUGAAAAGAAAGAUUGCAGUUGGCAAACACUUAGGUUGUCGGGUACUGAAAUUGUAAAAUACUACGGCUGGAGAUUUGGUUUUUAAUACUGAAGGGUGCCUUCCACUGCUGAGUUCAGUGGGAUUAUAUGGGGGCUUAAAGAUAAGCACUUGGAUAAACCAUUCCAAUCAGUGACUGAGGCAUGACUUCAGCAGUAAAGCUGGGCCACAUGUAAUUCAUAUUAUAAGGUAUUUUUAUUAUGUAUUAUUGAAUUCCUUUUAUUAGUCAGUAAUUGGCAAUUAAAAUAGCAUCCAUAUUUCAAAAAAGAAAAUAUCAGGUAUUUCCAGUUAGAAGAGCAUGCCACUGAGGGUUCUACUUGCAGGAGGAGCUGUUACCCUGGUGUGCAAACCACUGAGGUUCCCUCUCAGUAAUUCAGAAGUCUUAUCUGCCUUUUCUUUUUCUUUGCUGCUAAUUGGGAAUUGUGUGAAAAACUGUGUUGAGGCUCUGACUCAGAAAUGGGAUCACUAGGCUCUUCAGGCCUAAUAAAGGAGAAACAGUCAUGAUGAUCAUUUUAGCAUGAGCCAAUCAAGUUCCUCAUUGGUUUAAUUCUGCAUCAGAAUGUAAAGUGACCCUAACCUGCUCUGAUUAGUUUGUGACUUGUCUCAUAAUCAUAUCCCUCCCAGCUCAGUACAAGAGAGGCAAAAUGGAUGUACAUGAAGGAAGGCACACAGGCUCCACAGGCAGGUAUCUCACCUGCAAGCUUCAUGCAGUGCUCUCUGCAGGUACAGCUUCAGGGCCUUUGAGAUCACAACGGGACAAGGACAGAGAAAGAGGGUUUUGUGCCAUGGUACCAUGCCCUGUCAAAGCAGUGAAAACCACACAGCAGAUGCUGGAAUUAAUAUAUAAUGUAGGAGAUAAGAGCAGAGAGGUGCAGUCAGACCAACUAGCACACAGAUGUCCGGUGAUGAGUAUGGGGAAAGAGCAGGUAUUUUCUGGCACACUACCCCAGAGGCUUGCUGAACCAAAGAAUGCAAAUAGAUUAAAUGUAACACCCACCAGCUUCCAGCUGGAGCUUCUUUCUUAAGCCUCCUGUUCUACCCAUCUUGAAGCAACCCACCAAAGUCAUCAUGUGGCUUGGAAAGGAAAGCAGACGUGCUUCCAGUCUGUCCUGCAGAGUUUAUACCUCUAACAUCACAUGAGAAGAUACAGGGUAAAACUUUAAACUCAAAAUUCCCUUGAGGGUCAUGUAGCUCCUCAUGAAGUCCUCAUUACCACAGAGUCAUCUCAGAACAUCAUAAAGUUAAUGUUAACAGCAAGGUGACUCCAUCAUGCUCUGAGUCAACUGCUGCUUUCCAAACUCCAAGAAGAUAAAUCUGCGUAGUUCUCACUAUCCUCUAUAGUUGGUGCCACCCUCCAGGCUCCUCAUUGCUGUUGUAUUUGUUUUGUUAUUACUGAAAUAAAACGAGGAAUUCUAGAGUGAUUCAGCAGAUCACAAAGGAGCAAAACAAAAGGAGGGCCUGUUAUCAUUCUUGCUGAGAUAGCUGUAAGACUCUGAUUGUGUAUUGCCUGUGUGUAAGGACAGGACUGUGAUGUAGGAAGUAAGAGUCUCUUAAAUGACCGGUAGUCAUGGAAAGGUCUGCAUUACUGUUGAGAAGACAGGGCAGUAGUUGUGCCACAGAAGUGCUAAAGGUCCUCUGAGCUUCUCCACAGAUGUUUCUAGGCAGCACCGUUGAAGUCAGCUGCUGUGGACAGCUGGACACGGGGGUGAGUUUUCCUAUGGAAAUUCUAGGAGAGUAAAUGGCAAAGAUCCUCUGGUUUGGGUGCAGGCCCUCAUGUUUUUUCCAGACAAAAGGAGUCAGUUUAGAAAGCAGAUUAAUACUGUAUGCAAGGCUUUCCCAGCAAGCAAGUUGGGCUGUACUUCAUACUGCAGUCAAAGAAAUUAGAGGCAGAAAAGGUUACAUCAUCCAGCUCUUAAUCUAAAGAUACAUGUACUAAAAUAUGUGGCACAUGGUUAAAUGCUUUGCUAGGUCAGAGACCUAAUUUGCUCCCUGUCAGUAGGGCUGUUCUCUAUCACGGACAUUUUUAGGGCUAAUUAGACUGUGCUCCUGGCUAUUGCAAGAGCAAAACCCAAGGCAUGAAUCCUCUGGCACUUCUAAGUGCUGUCAGCAUUCUGCAGAUAACAACAAAUAAUAAUAACAACCCUUCUGUUUGAGGUCUGUGUUCGAGGUGGUUUCAGGGUGAUCAGAUCUGGCAGGAGAAUUGCCAAGCCAAUGAGGACUGCCCCAGCCCUAUGUGAAAGAUGCCCCAGAUACAGUCCUGAAGGUGGGAUUAUUUUUGUGCCCUUUUUUACCUCUCCUCCACCUCCAAUUUCUAACCAUUCUUGUGGAUCCUAGAUUCCCGAUUCUUAGACUUUAGAUGAUAAACUGUGUCUUUGCUGGGUCUGGUUUAAGACUAUAAAGUAUGUUUUAUAAUCUGCAUACAGAAAUAGCUUGCAUGCACCUACCCACAGUGUACAAUGAUCAUUAACCUACUCUCCUGUUCCUGGAUUCACUUACUCAUUGCAGCUGAUUUGCAAACUUGCAGGAAAGAGAGAUUCUUACACCACUCCAUGUGUGCAGGGACUAAUGCUCACAGAAGCUCCACUGCAGUACAAACAACAUUCAUAAUACCAUAAUGCUCGCUGCAUGUGCAGAUUUGAUACAUCAUUGGGCACAUAUUUUGUGAAUGAAAUGGCGCGGUUGGUUUCAAGACAGCUUGCUCCUUCAACAUGGUCUCUGUUUUGCUUUCUGAGAGCUAGAUCACAUUUUUAACCCAGCUGAAACUUUUCCCAUUCCAUCAUAUAAUGAAGAAGCUGAGGACAGUUGUAUUAACAGCCAGUAAUAUCUAGUUAUCAAAGUUUGUCUCCCUCUCUUACAGUCUUUUAAACUGUUUGCCUGAACCUGCAAUUCCGCAUCCAGCCGGACUGGCUGUGAACACUAGAUGGCGCUUCGCAGCAAGAAAGGUUAAUAGUUUAUGCAGCUCAAUGAAGAGCUCCCUUACUGCCCUCCUUCACGAGCAGGACUUUUUUUGCCCUCAUCAUCUCACUGGUCCUAAUUCAGCAUUUAGUCCACGGAGAAAUACCUGAUCAGUUCCCAGAUAAAUUCCCACUUUCACCAAGGAUGGCAUGAUUAUUUCAUGAUGAGCUCUAGCUUAUAUUAGUAUCAGUCAAACUGCUUCAUAUUUUGCCUAAAGCUGCUGCAUACACAAGAGGCUGUAUUGAAACAGGGAGACCUGCAGGUAUCUAAGAUGCUUUCUUCUGGGUUGGCUCAGGUCAGGGAGCUGCCCUUUUUCCUGUUAACACCUGUAGUGAUACAAGGGCCAGUUUUCAUGGGUACUUGGCCUCGUUUAUUUACCCCUGAGGCUACACUAGAAUAGUAACCCACAGCCAGCCUCAGCCUGCCUUGCAGAGCAGGUAUGUGAGCACGGUCCGGAGCAUCCUCCUCCUUUCUGGGGAGCUGAGGUUUACCCCACCCUCUCCCAGGUUGGGCCUCCAGGCAGCGCUGCGCUCAGCAGGUGCCCUACAAGUGUGGCACAAAAGCAGGCUGAGGCCACAGUAAACAACUUGCCAGUAUCUAUUUAGGUGUAAGGGUGAACUGCCACAGAUUAUAUGUUAAACACGACACGUAGAAGGCUUAGGUUCUAUAAGGCUCAGGUUAUACACAAGGAGCUGCCAUGUGCAGCAGCAGGCACAGCUGGAGCCCAUCCUCUGCAGAGAGCUGUGUCCCCAUGGCACCUUCCUGGGGACCUGCUUGGGCUGCAGUGCCACACUUGUAGUAGGGCAUCACUUACAGGGAAGCUGAAGCAGAGCUGGUGAGCGCCUACAUCUGGAAAGGCAGGAAAGCUGAGUCCUGCUGAGCAGCUUGAGAACAGCCAUACCAGGUGCUUUCCUGAGCCAGUGCCCUUCAGCCCUUCCUCCAAACAUUUCCCAGAUAACAUCCAGGGGAAAUCUCCCACUAGUGCUGCUUCACUUGUUUUGGAAACCUUUUUCUUUCCUCGUGUAGCCAUUAUUCCAUCGUCCUUUUGAUAAUGCUUACACCUCGACUGAAUGUCAACUGCUGCUCUUCACACAGAGCUGCAGUGCUUGGCCCUGUUUGAUCUUUCCCAGGGUCUUUCUUAGCACAUUCCACCCUCUGUAGCUUUUUUUCCCUCUUUUCUUUCUUUUAAAUAAAUGAUUUCUACAUUUUUAAGUCAUCACCUGGAUUAUUUAUUUAUCCUCUCAUCCUUACCAAGGUCAGUGUUUCCAAUUGCUUGGAAGUACUUCUUCAUCCUUCUUACAGAUUACUGUACAAGGUCCUCUUUUUUCCUCAGCUACCUGACUGUCCCUAACUCCCCUCCAGCAACUUGUUUUCCCUCAGUUCAGCUCUGUAGUUUGUGAACUGUGUACUGACAAGCUGACUGCUCGUUGCACAGCUUCCCCUUGUUCCAGGAAGAGCCAAACAAUUGCAGUUUCGGAGGUUACCCCUAAUAUUGUCCUGUUCUGUUCUAACUUAGUUUCACAUAACUCUCCCUUGCUUUGUUCCACCUCUGCUUAAUAUUAUUUCCCAGCUCUAUACACAAAUUGCUGAUAAAUUCAAGAGUUUUGUCUCAGUACUGAAUAGAGACCUUGAAACUGCACCUCAGUCCCACAGCAUGGCUAACUGCCAUGGUGCUGCUGCUGGCCUUCACUGCAUUUGGUGGCUUCAUCAGUGAUGGCACAAAUAGAGGGCAGUGAUAACAGCAGGGCAGUGGCCUGGAGCCCAGAAGGAGCCAUACAUUGGUGGCAGCAGCCCAGCGUAGCCUCAGCUGGGCUCACCUGCUUGGAAGGAUGAAAAAAGGGAAAAGUUCCUGCUCUCAGUCCUCCUGCAGAGCAAGACACAGAGCUGUCCAGAGGGUGCUGCUCAUGGGCUCCUCACUGCUAAUGGUGACGCUUCAUACUGCUGUCCUGCCAUGUAACACCCACUGCUGGGCCUCGUCCAGUAUUGUCUGUGCUGCAAAAGUCUUCCAAGCCAACCGAAUAGAUUCUAGCACAUUCUGCCAUUCUUUCAUCACAGAGUAUAGUACUGUUAACCUAGUAAGGAAGCUUCAAUCUCUUUCCAGUUCAGGAGAAUUCUCUCCAUUGUUUCCGAAGAAAUCUUUCUGGAUGUGCUGCCAAGAGUGUGUAUUUUCUGUCAUGUUCCAAGUUGCUUGAAAUAAGAAAGAAUUAUCCUCACAAUUAAGAUCAGGCUGUACAAUUUAGAUACAUGCCUUGAAAGAUUUCCUAUUCUCUGCCAGAGAUGUAUUGUUCUUCCCCAUUUAAUUUUAUUUACUUUUUUUUAGUGGAUGCAACAGUUACACUGUCAUUUAUUAGAGAACAAGGAAGCAGCAGCUGCAGAGCUGUGUAUAUAAAAUAAACACAGUGUGGAUGAAGCUAUCAGAAGCUCAGAUUUCAAGGAGGAGAGGGGGAGGAUUGCUUUUAAUAAGAUCUUGUGUCAGUAAAGUUGUGCGACGGAACUGCAGGGUCUUACCCUAUUAAGAAUACGAGGGGGAACAAAUUCUUUCAUUUAAUGGAACAACAGUGUUAGCUGCAUGCAUACAGACAGAGGGCUUAAUUUAAAAAGUAAAAGCAAUUUGGUCAUUCAUGUUCAGACUUUGGGAACUCCACAGAGCAUGCCAAAUGCACUCAUUUCUUUUUAACCCUUUGGCUGCAAGGCCUGUACAGUAUGGAAGAGGCACGGCCAUGGUGUAUUUACUCAGCUGAACAGAACUUUCUUCUCUCUCGAGCUAUGCAGGAAGCAGCUGAUGCCCAGGGAAGGCAGGUGGGAGGGAGGCAUCCUGUCCCCAGCUCUGACGCAGUUUUAUUCUGUUAGCUUGGGUGAAUCGCUUCGCUCACCAUCAGUGCAAACACAGAUGCUGAUGCUAUCAAUGGCUGCUACUUGUUUGUUUAUUCAUCUGUAUUAAACCAGUGACUAGGAAGCCCCAGCAAGCAUGAGAGCACUCAGACCAGAGGGUUGUACGGGAGCCAACUGCAAUUGUACUCACUGAAUUUGCAGCCGAGCACUUCAGCAUCGCAUGCCGUGACAUGAAUUUGCCCCAUCCCUUGCAUGCUCACACAGUGACAAGUAGUGCUGCCUUGGAAUGGUACCUGGCUACUUUGAGGCUGCAUACACACAAUGAAACACCUGUCCUAAAACCAGCAGAGGCAUGGGCAGAUUCAGGUCAAGCAGCCCAACCUGUGCUGCACAGUUGUAAGGGGCUCCGAGGUGCCUCGUUGGGGCAGGUCUGAGCACCUCACACAGCGCAUCAAAACGUGGGGCAGGGAGCUGAGUCAGUCGAGCACCAAAUCAGGUUGUAUGACCAUCCUUAUCACAGGUGCUUUAUAAUAAAGCCGAAACCAUUUUGUAAUACAACUAGAUUCAGCCACAGGUGAUAACAAUAACAACAAACACACUCCUCCACUGAGCCACCGUCUGCUCGAGCAGCACACCUCACUGCAGAUGGAGCCAAACUAGCUCUGGACAACUCUGACACAACCAACUGUGGCUGUAUUUUCAUAAACAUGCAUACACACACACAUGCAGAACUCUACUGCGGGCAUUAUUUCAUUAACAGCAUAAUCGUGCAAAGUAUGCAUGUAUUUUCUAUAAUUGUAUAAUCAGCAUAUAAUUAUAUAGGGUAGAAAAUAUAAACAUAAAUUAAAUAGGUUAAUGCAUUUAUUAUUGAGAUAUAAAUUUCAGUGGUAACUGAAAUCACGCCAGGGUGUAUGUGUGUGUAUUAAUACAGCACUGGGAUGGAAAAUGUUGCAUAUAUAGAAGUACCUGAUACAGCUAAGGCCACCUCUGCACUCAGACACGGUUUGCAGUGACACUGCGUACAGAGGCUUCAGAAGGCUGUAGCAGUGAGUCUGCAUUAGAGGCCUGCUGCUGGCAUGCUCUGCUGGGAAAUUAACAGCAACAACAAGAGGAAAUGGAUAGAGCUUCUGUUUUGCAGCUGCCUCAUUGUGCAAGGACUCCAGUGAUUCCAUCUGCCCACAUGGAAAACUGUUGGGGUGGGAAUGCAGCUGACAAAUCACACUCUUCUGAGGUAUAAAAACUACGCAGGAAAGCCAAAGGAGAAAGGACUUUUCUCCCUAGUUCAUACACUUAUCUCAGCUAGCUGCCUGCACCCUUUACAUAAAACGUGGCCAAAUAGAUAAAAUGGAGAAAUAGGAUUAUUUUUUUAAAAGAUAUUACACUUUUAGAAGUAUGCAAGCACACGUUCCUACACUAGAGAGUAUGAAAUCACCAUCCAGACUUCUUACAUCCCAGCAAGCUAAACUGAUAAAAUCAGUACAGAAACAAUGAUAAAAAUGGGUCUGAGAUUACUGACCUCCUUUCUCUCUUGCUUCUGUUUAUGAACUGUAGUUGGCCACUAGAGGCAGACUUCAACCUCUAGGGUUUCAUGUCUCACCUAGAAGAGCCAUAUUCCAGACAAACCAACCCAUUAGUCCAAGCUUCUUCCAAGAGAAAUAUUUUAUCAUACGGAACGGCUCAGGAAUUCAGCCCUCAGCAAGGACUGCUUCAAUCACAGAUGGGAACUUGGGAACUCUACUAAAUCACAGAUGGUGUAUUUUUUCCUAUAAUUCACAAAAUGAGCUAUUUCUACUGCUUUUUUUUUUUUUUUUCCCCUUCUCUGAUUUUUAUAUUUUGCACAUGGCAAUUGCAAACAGAGAUACACAUUUUUUAAAAGGGCCCUUGAAAACAGUUUCUCUUAAUGAUGCAUGUAAUCUUUUCCUGUUCAGCACACCCUAACAACAACAUGUCAUCCUUUUCAGAAAUUAAAACAUAGCUAAUUUUAAUAGGAUUGGGUUUAUGUUUUAUGCACUU